CUUGUGUUUUAUCCUUAAGUACUUCCAGGACACAAGCACCUGUUUCCUGAGUAAAAGUCUUGUGUUUUCCCCUUAGCUUCUUCCAGGACACGUAU